rnacentral:rRNA from 1 species
GAGCUUGCUCCUGUCAAGUUAGCGGCGGACGGGUGAGUAACACGUGGGCAACCUGCCCAAUAGUUGGGGAUAACUCCGGGAAACCGGGGCUAAUACCGAAUAAUACAUUUCAUCUCCUGUUGGAAUGUUGAAAGAUGGUUUACGCUAUCGCUAUUGGAUGGGCCCGCGGCGCAUUAGCUAGUUGGUGAGGUAACGGCUCACCAAGGCGACGAUGCGUAGCCGACCUGAGAGGGUGAUCGGCCACACUGGGACUGAGACACGGCCCAGACUCCUACGGGAGGCAGCAGUAGGGAAUCUUCCACAAUGGGCGAAAGCCUGAUGGAGCAACGCCGCGUGAGUGAAGAAGGUUUUCGGAUCGUAAAACUCUGUUGUAAGGGAAGAACAAGUACAGUAGUAACUGGCUGUACCUUGACGGUACCUUAUUAGAAAGCCACGGCUAACUACGUGCCAGCAGCCGCGGUAAUACGUAGGUGGCAAGCGUUGUCCGGAAUUAUUGGGCGUAAAGCGCGCGCAGGUGGUCCUUUAAGUCUGAUGUGAAAGC